GAAAAAUUCUGGCGGCCAUCUUUUGUUAAUGCAGUCGGCCGUUUGACAGAUUUGACAGACUAAUAUUUGUAUUCUCAGAAAGAAUGGAGAGCCAUGAUAGCUAUGAGUGUGAGGUGUGCAACAAGAGGUUUACUCUGAAGUCCAACCUUAAACGCCACAUGAAGCUUCACGACGCCAGGAUGGAGUCCCUUCGCGUCGACGGAGGUCGUGGUCGCCAGACGAGCUGCGAGGAUUCAGCGAAUGAAUCGGCAGGCGGAGCUGCUCUUUGGUAAGGAGCACGUCUUUGAACCUAACUUCGCUGCUCCUCUGCCAUACCCUGACGACUACAACCAUCCAGACGAGGAGGAGCUGCUUGGCGUGGAGUAUGGCAUGUGCCAGUCCACUGCAUUCACUGCAAGGCACUACUACGCGCAGAAAGCUGAGGAGGAGGAGGAG